AUUGAACGCUGGCGGCAGGCUUAACACAUGCAAGUCGAGCGGAGAUGAGGUGCUUGCACCUUAUCUUAGCGGCGGACGGGUGAGUAAUGCUUAGGAAUCUGCCUAUUAGUGGGGGACAACAUUCCGAAAGGAAUGCUAAUACCGCAUACGUCCUACGGGAGAAAACAGGGGAUCUUCGGACCUUGCGCUAAUAGAUGAGCCUAAGUCGGAUUAGCUAGUUGGUGGGGUAAAGGCCUACCAAGGCGACGAUCUGUAGCGGGUCUGAGAGGAUGAUCCGCCACACUGGGAGUGAGACACGGCCCAGACUCCUACGGGAGGCAGCAGUGGGGAAUAUUGGACAAUGGGGGGAACCCUGAUCCAGCCAUGCCGCGUGUGUGAAGAAGGCCUUAUGGUUGUAAAGCACUUUAAGCGAGGAGGAGGCUACUGAGACUAAUACUCUUGGAUAGUGGACGUUACUCGCAGAAUAAGCACCGGCUAACUCUGUGCCAGCCGCCGCCGUAAUAC
rnacentral:rRNA from 1 species